AUUGAACGCUGGCGGCAUGCUUUACACAUGCAAGUCGAACGGUAACAGGCCUUCGGGUGCUGACGAGUGGCGAACGGAUGAGUAAUGCAUCGGAACGUACCCAGAGGUGGGGGAUAACGCAGCGAAAGCUGUGCUAAUACCGCAUGUGAUCUGAGGAUGAAAGCGGGGGACCGAGCAGCAAUGUUUGGCCUCGCGCCUUUGGAGCGGCCGAUGUCGGAUUAGCUAGUUGGUGGGGUAAAGGCCUACCAAGGCGACGAUCCGUAGCUGGUCUGAGAGGACGACCAGCCACACUGGGACUGAGACACGGCCCAGACUCCUACGGGGGGCAGCAGUGGGGAAUUUUGGACAAUGGGCGCAAGCCUGAUCCAGCAAUGCCGCGUGCGGGAAGAAGGCCUUCGGGUUGUAAACCGCUUUUGGCAGGAACGAAACGGUGUCCGCUAAUACCGGGCGCUAAUGACGGUACCUGCAGAAUAAGCACCGGCUAACUACGUG
rnacentral:rRNA from 1 species